CUGGAACUACUAAUCAGUCUUCGUACCACACGACUCCUUUCCAGUCUUGUCAAAAGUGUUUAUAUCCUUCAUCCUUCUAUGCAAUCUUCUUCUUAAUGAGCUUUAUUUCUUUAUCUUUUAACUGUGCCAAAAUGAUUUGAUCGUCUAGUGUAGGCUCGAUGGAUAUGUGACUCAACAUGCCGUGAGGAAAAAUUUCUAAAUUGAGCUUCCUCAUCUCAUGACAUGAGGCUUCUGUGAAAUUAUCUAUGGGGAGAUAGCUGCAAUGAGCCUUGCGGCUAGGAGCAUCAACAACUACAUUGGCCUUUCCUGGAUGAUAAUGCACCUCUAAAUCAUAAUCUUUUAUCAACUCCA
rnacentral:lncRNA from 1 species